GGGUUGUGAGGUUAAGCGACUAAGCGUACACGGUGGAUGCCCUGGCAGUCAGAGGCGAUGAAGGACGUGCUAAUCUGCGAUAAGCGUCGGUGAGGUGAUAUGAACCGUUAUAACCGGCGAUUUCCGAAUGGGGAAACCCAGUGUGUUUCGACACACUAUCAUUAACUGAAUCCAUAGGUUAAUGAGGCGAACCGGGGGAACUGAAACAUCUAAGUACCCCGAGGAAAAGAAAUCAACCGAGAUUCCCCCAGUAGCGGCGAGCGAACGGGGAGGAGCCCAGAGCCUGAAUCAGUGUGUGUGUUAGUGGAAGCGUCUGGAAAGGCGUGCGAUACAGGGUGACAGCCCCGUACACAAAAAUGCACAUAUUGUGAGCUCGAUGAGUAGGGCGGGACACGUGGUAUCCUGUCUGAAUAUGGGGGGACCAUCCUCCAAGGCUAAAUACUCCUGACUGACCGAUAGUGAACCAGUACCGUGAGGGAAAGGCGAAAAGAACCCCGGCGAGGGGAGUGAAAAAGAACCUGAAACCGUGUACGUACAAGCAGUGGGAGCCUCUUAAUGGGGUGACUGCGUACCUUUUGUAUAAUGGGUCAGCGACUUAUAUUCUGUAGCAAGGUUAACCGAAUAGGGGAGCCGAAGGGAAACCGAGUCUUAACUGGGCGUUAAGUUGCAGGGUAUAGACCCGAAACCCGGUGAUCUAGCCAUGGGCAGGUUGAAGGUUGGGUAACACUAACUGGAGGACCGAACCGACUAAUGUUGAAAAAUUAGCGGAUGACUUGUGGCUGGGGGUGAAAGGCCAAUCAAACCGGGAGAUAGCUGGUUCUCCCCGAAAGCUAUUUAGGUAGCGCCUCGUGAAUUCAUCUCCGGGGGUAGAGCACUGUUUCGGCAAGGGGGUCAUCCCGACUUACCAACCCGAUGCAAACUGCGAAUACCGGAGAAUGUUAUCACGGGAGACACACGGCGGGUGCUAACGUCCGUCGUGAAGAGGGAAACAACCCAGACCGCCAGCUAAGGUCCCAAAGUCAUGGUUAAGUGGGAAACGAUGUGGGAAGGCCCAGACAGCCAGGAUGUUGGCUUAGAAGCAGCCAUCAUUUAAAGAAAGCGUAAUAGCUCACUGGUCGAGUCGGCCUGCGCGGAAGAUGUAACGGGGCUAAACCAUGCACCGAAGCUGCGGCAGCGACACUAUGUGUUGUUGGGUAGGGGAGCGUUCUGUAAGCCUGUGAAGGUGGCCUGUGAGGGUUGCUGGAGGUAUCAGAAGUGCGAAUGCUGACAUAAGUAACGAUAAAGCGGGUGAAAAGCCCGCUCGCCGGAAGACCAAGGGUUCCUGUCCAACGUUAAUCGGGGCAGGGUGAGUCGACCCCUAAGGCGAGGCCGAAAGGCGUAGUCGAUGGGAAACAGGUUAAUAUUCCUGUACUUGGUGUUACUGCGAAGGGGGGACGGAGAAGGCUAUGUUGGCCGGGCGACGGUUGUCCCGGUUUAAGCGUGUAGGCUGGUUUUCCAGGCAAAUCCGGAAAACCAAGGCUGAGGCGUGAUGACGAGGCACUACGGUGCUGAAGCGACAAAUGCCCUGCUUCCAGGAAAAGCCUCUAAGCAUCAGGUAACAUCAAAUCGUACCCAAAACCGACACAGGUGGUCAGGUAGAGAAUACCAAGGCGCUUGAGAGAACUCGGGUGAAGGAACUAGGCAAAAUGGUGCCGUAACUUCGGGAGAAGGCACGCUGAUAUGUAGGUGAAGCGACUUGCUCGUGGAGCUGAAAUCAGUCGAAGAUACCAGCUGGCUGCAACUGUUUAUUAAAAACACAGCACUGUGCAAACACGAAAGUGGACGUAUACGGUGUGACGCCUGCCCGGUGCCGGAAGGUUAAUUGAUGGGGUUAGCGGYAACGCGAAGCUCUUGAUCGAAGCCCCGGUAAACGGCGGCCGUAACUAUAACGGUCCUAAGGUAGCGAAAUUCCUUGUCGGGUAAGUUCCGACCUGCACGAAUGGCGUAAUGAUGGCCAGGCUGUCUCCACCCGAGACUCAGUGAAAUUGAACUCGCUGUGAAGAUGCAGUGUACCCGCGGCAAGACGGAAAGACCCCGUGAACCUUUACUAUAGCUUGACACUGAACAUUGAGCCUUGAUGUGUAGGAUAGGUGGGAGGCUUUGAAGUGUGGACGCCAGUCUGCAUGGAGCCGACCUUGAAAUACCACCCUUUAAUGUUUGAUGUUCUAACGUUGGCCCGUAAUCCGGGUUGCGGACAGUGUCUGGUGGGUAGUUUGACUGGGGCGGUCUCCUCCUAAAGAGUAACGGAGGAGCACGAAGGUUGGCUAAUCCUGGUCGGACAUCAGGAGGUUAGUGCAAUGGCAUAAGCCAGCUUGACUGCGAGCGUGACGGCGCGAGCAGGUGCGAAAGCAGGUCAUAGUGAUCCGGUGGUUCUGAAUGGAAGGGCCAUCGCUCAACGGAUAAAAGGUACUCCGGGGAUAACAGGCUGAUACCGCCCAAGAGUUCAUAUCGACGGCGGUGUUUGGCACCUCGAUGUCGGCUCAUCACAUCCUGGGGCUGAAGUAGGUCCCAAGGGUAUGGCUGUUCGCCAUUUAAAGUGGUACGCGAGCUGGGUUUAGAACGUCGUGAGACAGUUCGGUCCCUAUCUGCCGUGGGCGCUGGAGAACUGAGGGGGGCUGCUCCUAGUACGAGAGGACCGGAGUGGACGCAUCACUGGUGUUCGGGUUGUCAUGCCAAUGGCACUGCCCGGUAGCUAAAUGCGGAAGAGAUAAGUGCUGAAAGCAUCUAAGCACGAAACUUGCCCCGAGAUGAGUUCUCCCUGACUCCUUGAGRGUCCUGAAGGAACGUUGAAGACGACGACGUUGAUAGGCCGGGUGUGUAAGCGCAGCGAUGCGUUGAGCUAACCGGUACUAAUGAACCGUGAGGCUUAACCUUACAACGCCGAAG
rnacentral:rRNA from 1 species